rnacentral:miRNA from 1 species
GAUCGUCUAUUCGGAAGCUCCA